UCCAGACUCCUACGGGAGGCAGCAGUGGGGAAUAUUGCACAAUGGGCGCAAGCCUGAUGCAGCCAUGCCGCGUGUAUGAAGAAGGCCUUCGGGUUGUAAAGUACUUUCAGCGGGGAGGAAGGGAGUAAAGUUAAUACCUUUGCUCAUUGACGUUACCCGCAGAAGAAGCACCGGCUAACUCCGUGCCAGCAGCCGCGGUAAUACGGAGGGUGCAAGCGUUAAUCGGAAUUACUGGGCGUAAAGCGCACGCAGGCGGUUUGUUAAGUCAGAUGUGAAAUCCCCGGGCUCAACCUGGGAACUGCAUCUGAUACUGGCAAGCUUGAGUC
rnacentral:rRNA from 1 species